AAAUACUUUUACUUCUUAAGAAGACAAUUUAUUUACAUUUUUUGGGUCAAAAUUGCUAAAAUAGAAUCAAAAUCGGAUUAAUUUUGGUUAAAUUCUGGGUAAGUCAAACCGGAUGAAAAAUUAUCGGUUAACUGGUCGGUUUAAUUGGAGGCGUAGUUUUAAGAACAAAUCCGAAAGUAUGUGUAGUUUUAUCGAGAUUAAAGUUUUUUAUGAUGGUUUUUUAAGUGGCUAAAAGUUUAGGGUGAAAAGUUGAGAUUCCAACUAGUAUAGGGCUGAAAAUUCAGUCAACCCGUUAAUUUUAUACGUACUUUGUUUCUUAUACAU
rnacentral:sRNA from 1 species